rnacentral:rRNA from 1 species
GACCCCAGGUCAGGCGGGACCACCCGCUGAG